rnacentral:lncRNA from 1 species
UAAUGAUAACAAAACAAGAUUUUUAGUUUACAACAGUGAGAUCUAAUUUUUGAGUAAGCCAAUUAUCAAUCAUAAAUGGUUGAGUCCUAGAAUCAAGGAUAACAUGCAAAGAUAUGACACAAGUGGUAUUACCACUAGUAUAGCUAACAACUAACAUAUUAUUAUUGUUAACCAAUCAUAUAAUUUUUAGGCACAAAUUUUGACAUUUUCAAAUAAAUUUAGUUACAAUAUUAGAUAAAAAUGCUACCUUUAUAAUCAAUGGCACCUCACUUAAAGGAUUUAUAAUUAUAGCCUUUAAGUAACCUUCAUCAAAUAUGAUAUUAGCUUUAAUUGCAAAUAUUACUUGUAACUUAGUUAAAUCUUCUUGUGUUGAAGACUUUCUUAUCACUUAAGCUUCUUCUAAUGAUGGCAUAGGUACUUUUCUUUCCAAUAUUUUAUUAACCA